rnacentral:tRNA from 1 species
GCCUGGGUAGUUUAAAUAAAAUUUUGGUUUGUGGAGCCAAAGAUGGGAUUCCCCUUAGGCC